rnacentral:pre_miRNA from 1 species
AAUAACUCUAUUUUUUAGUUUUUUGAUACAAUAUUUUGACUGUUCGUAUUAUUUGAAAUUUUUUGGGAUUAAUAUUUUUAUUGUUACUAAAUGAUCAAAUAUGAAUAGUACUUGAUGCGUGACUAAUUUUUUUUAGUUUUUUAUAAUUUUUUUAAAUAAGACGAAUGGUCAAACGUUUGACAUGGAAAAACCAAAA